AGGCCGGAUUUCAGGCUGAUCAGGGUGUCGCGUGAGUGAAGAAGGCCUUCGGGUUGUAAAGCUCUUUUGUCAGGGAAGAAACGGCUGAGGCUAAUAUCCUGGGCUAAUGACGGUACCUGAAGAAUAAGCACCGGCUAACUACGUGCCAGCAGCCGCGGUAAUACGUAGGGUGCAAGCGUUAAUCGGAAUUACUGGGCGUAAAGCGUGCGCAGGCGGUUUUGUAAGUCUGACGUGAAAUCCCCGGGCUCAACCUGGGAAUUGCGUUGGAGACUGCAAGGCUGGAAUCUGGCAGAGGGGGGUAGAAUUCCACGUGUAGCAGUGAAAUGCGUAGAGAUGUGGAGGAACACCGAUGGCGAAGGCAGCCCCCUGGGUCAAGACUGACGCUCAUGCACGAAAGCGUGGGGAGCAAACAGGAUUAGAUACCCUGGUAGUCCACGCCCUAAACGAUGUCUACUAGUUGUCGGGUCUUAAUUGACUUGGUAACGCAGCUAACGCGUGAAGUAGACCGCCUGGGGAGUACGGUCGCAAGAUUAAAACUCAAAGGAAUUGACGG
rnacentral:rRNA from 1 species